UACGGAGGGAGCUAGUGUUGUUCGGAAUUAUUGGGCGUAAAGCGCGUGUAGGCGGUCUGAUUAGUCUGAUGUGAAAGCCCUGGGCUCAACCCAGGAAGUGCAUUGGAUACUGUCAGACUUGAAUACGGGAGAGGGUAGUGGAAUUCCUAGUGUAGGAGUGAAAUCCGUAGAUAUUAGGAGGAACACCGGUGGCGAAGGCGGCUACCUGGACCGAUAUUGACGCUGAAGUGCGAAAGCGUGGGGAGCAAACAGG
rnacentral:rRNA from 1 species